rnacentral:rRNA from 1 species
CCUACGGGAGGCUGCAGUGAGGAAUAUUGGUCAAUGGGCGCGAGCCUGAACCAGCCAAGUAGCGUGAAGGAUGACUGCCCUACGGGUUGUAAACUUCUUUUAUAAAGGAAUAAAGUGAGGCACGUGUGCCUUUUUGUAUGUACUUUAUGAAUAAGGAUCGGCUAACUCCGUGCCAGCAGCCGCGGUAAUACGGAGGAUCCGAGCGUUAUCCGGAUUUAUUGGGUUAAAAGGGAGCGUAGGCGGAGCGUUAAGUCAGUGGUAAAAUUGAGGGGCUCAACCCCUUCCCGCCAUUGAAACUGGCGCGCUUGAGUGGAAGAGAAGUAUGCGGAAUGCGUGGUGUAGCGGUGAAAUGCAUAGAUAUCACGCAGAACCCCGAUUGCGAAGGCAGCAUGCCGGCUUCCGACUGACGCUGAAGCACGAAAGCGUGGGGAUCGAACAGGAUUAGAUACCCUUGUAGUC